rnacentral:rRNA from 1 species
CUUGGCAGCUUGCUGCCGGGGUGAGAGUGGCGAACGGGUGAGUAAUGCGUGACCGACCUGCCCCAUGCACCGGAAUAGCUCCUGGAAACGGGUGGUAAUGCCGGAUGUUCCACAUGAGCGCAUGCGAGUGUGGGAAAGGCUUUUUGCGGCAUGGGAUGGGGUCGCGUCCUAUCAGCUUGUUGGUGGGGUAACGGCCUACCAAGGCGUUGACGGGUAGCCGGCCUGAGAGGGCGACCGGCCACAUUGGGACUGAGAUACGGCCCAGACUCCUACGGGAGGCAGCAGUGGGGAAUAUUGCACAAUGGGCGCAAGCCUGAUGCAGCGACGCCGCGUGCGGGAUGGAGGCCUUCGGGUUGUAAACCGCUUUUGUUCAAGGGCAAGGCACGGUUUCGGCCGUGUUGAGUGGAUUGUUCGAAUAAGCACCGGCUAACUACGUGCCAGCAGCCGCGGUAAUACGUAGGGUGCAAGCGUUAUCCGGAUUUAUUGGGCGUAAAGGGCUCGUAGGCGGUUCGUCGCGUCCGGUGUGAAAGUCCAUCGCUUAACGGUGGAUCCGCGCCGGGUACGGGCGGGCUUGAGUGCGGUAGGGGAGACUGGAAUUCCCGGUGUAACGGUGGAAUGUGUAGAUAUCGGGAAGAACACCAAUGGCGAAGGCAGGU